rnacentral:rRNA from 1 species
UACGUAGGCAGCGAGCGUUGUUCGGAGUUACUGGGCGUAAAGGGUGUGUAGGCGGUUCUUUAAGUUUGGUGUGAAAUCUCCCGGCUCAACCGGGAGGGUGCGCCGAAUACUGAGGGACUAGAGUGCGGGAGAGGAAAGUGGAAUUCCUGGUGUAGCGGUGAAAUGCGUAGAUAUCAGGAGGAACACCGGUGGUGUAGACGGCUUUCUGGACCGUAACUGACGCUGAGACACGAAAGACGUGGGUAGCAAACAGG